rnacentral:rRNA from 1 species
GUGCCAGCAGCCGCGGUAAUACAGAGGGUGCGAGCGUUGUCCGGAAUUACUGGGCGUAAAGGGCGCGUAGGCGGUUCAAUAAGUAGGAGGUGAAAUCUCACGGCUCAACCGGGAGGCUGCCUUCUAGACUGUUGGACUUGAGCACGGUAGAGGCAGAUGGAAUUCCCGGUGUAGCGGUGGAAUGCGUAGAGAUCGGGAAGAACACCAGUGGCGAAGGCGGUCUGCUGGGCCGUUGCUGACGCUGAGGCGCGACAGCGUGGGGAGCAAACAGGAUUAGAUACCCGCGUAGUCC